rnacentral:snoRNA from 1 species
UAUGAUGAGACACACAUAACACAGACCUGUUCUGAACACUUGUGUAGAAAAACAUGUUUUUAAUCUGAU